rnacentral:rRNA from 1 species
UACAGAGGGUGCGAGCGUUAAUCGGAAUUACUGGGCGUAAAGCGCGCGUAGGCGGCUUUGCAAGUCGGGUGUGAAAUCCCCAGGCUCAACUUGGGAACUGCAUCCGAUACUGGAUGGCUUGAAUUCGGGAGAGGGAUGCAGAAUUCCAGGUGUAGCGGUGAAAUGCGUAGAUAUCUGGAGGAAUACCGGUGGCGAAGGCGGCAUCCUGGACCGACAUUGACGCUGAACGGCGAAAGCUAGGGGAGCAAACGGG